GAUGAGGUGGCUGAAAUAUAGGCGGUAAAUUGUAAAUUUAUUUAUGGUAUCUUACCCUUCAUCA
rnacentral:tRNA from 1 species